CGACCUCGGUGCCGGUCCCAGUCCCGGCUCCAGCGAGGACCCGCCGGGCGCAGGCCCGAAUCCACCGACCCGGCGCCUCCAUCGGCAACCGGCAACCGGCGCCUCCAUCUUGCCCGCCCGCAGUCCUGCCCAGCGCCUCGGUGGCACAGCCUGCAGCACCCGGGGCCACCGCCAUCGCCCCUGGCCGCGGCUUCAUGUGUCUGUUGUGCGCCUCGGUGGCUUUUGAUCAUCUCCAUGGAUAGGGACUCCUCAGCUUCCCUGGGCAACCUGUGCUGGUGCUUACAGUGAAAGUGCUUCCUGAUGUUCAGAGGGAACCUCUAGUUUGUGCCCGUUGCCUCCGGUCCUGUCACUGUCCUCUCUGCACCCAACCGUCAGGGUCCAUCUCCCCAGGAACCACCAGAAACGGACCCCCCGGCGUCUGGAAGAUUUCCCAGUUACAGCCCGGGAGACCUUCCAGUGCGGAUGAGCGGCUGAGGACAGGGAGCAGCUUUCUGGUGCCAGCAAAGGGACAAUGAAACCUUCAGUCUGGGGUGAGCAGUGUCUGAGUUUCCGGUGCCACUUCGCUGGCUCACUUUGCUUUUCUUGCCCACCUGCUUUCUCCAUUUAUCCUUCCCUUUUUCCUUUUAUUAUUAUUGAUUCUUCCCUUGAUUCUCCUUUAUCCUUCCCUUUACUCUUCUUGGCUGCGAGUCGCUCCUGCAUGACUCCCCCUUAGGUGCAGCUGGGGCAGCUCUUCGACCCUCGCAGCUUGGGAUCUGGCCAGCGUGUGUGUGAGCUGGUGGGCUGGGGGCAAGCUGGGACCUCUGCGCUGCUUGCCCCCAUGUCCCAGCUUCUCCCGCCAUGUCACCCCCAUGUCCCAGCUCCUGCCCCGGCUCCCAGCACCACUGGAGCUACGGGGAUGCUGAAUCCUCCUGGCGCCCCCGAGCCAGGAGCAGCUCCAGCAGCCUCGGAGGGCAGCGCAAAGCCCCCCAGGAGCGGGCUGAGGUCUGGUGGUGAGCUGGGCUCGUGGCAUGGCCAGCGUGGCGGGGGCGUGCAGGGAGAGGCCACCUCCCCUCUGCCUGGGCCGGGAACAGCUUGUCUCCAGGACACUCCCUGAGCAGCGUGCCUCCUGCCUGCCAGCCCGUGGCUGGCGCUGAUGCCCCUGGAGAACAACUGCGGCCACUGAGUCCUUUCACUGACUCCCGCUGCCCUCACUCCGGAGACCGUCACAGGGACGGUGCCCAGGUCUGGUCUCAGGGAGGCUGAAGAGGCCCUUCCCUGGCCCUGCGGCUCCUGCAGCCCAGGAUGCUCUUGCCUGUCCCGGGCGGACUGAGGAAUCCAGUUCAGGCCCUCGCUCGCAGGGACCCCAGGUCCUUUUCUGCAAAGCUGCUUCUGCAGCACAGUCGCCCUCUGCCUGUCCCGUGCCAUGGGCUGUUCUGGCUCAGCUGAUGUGUCCCCAUGGGCCUGGCUCCUCCUCACCUCUCUC